rnacentral:ncRNA from 2 species
GGAUAUGUUGUGGGCGUCGGUGCCGACCUUCGCGGGUCGGCUGAAAAGGGAAGCCGGUGAGAUGCCGGCGCUGCCCCGCAGCGGUAUGGGAAACGACCGCGGUCAUGGCACUGGGCGAAGGCCUGGGAAGCGACCGCCAGUAGGAGACGCACGGCGUCGUGUCCCGAGCCCGAAGACCUGCCGACAGCCGCGCGAAGCA